rnacentral:tRNA from 1 species
CCGACUUUAGCUCAGUUCGUAGAGCGGAGGACUGUAGUUGGAUUAAUAAUUUGAGUUGAAAUCCUUAGGUCGCUGGUUCGAAUCCGGCAGGUCGGA